rnacentral:tRNA from 1 species
GCGCCCGUAGCUCAGUUGGAUAGAGCGCCUGCCUCCGGAGCAGGAGGUCGCAGGUUCGAAUCCUGCCGGGCGCGCCA